rnacentral:misc_RNA from 1 species
UCUCCGUUGGUGAACCAGCGGAGGGAUCAUUACCGAGUUUACAACUCCCAAACCCAAUGUGAACCAUACCAAACUGUUGCCUCGGCGGGGUCACGCCCCGGGUGCGUCGCAGCCCCGGAACCAGGCGCCGGCCGGAGGGACCAACCAAACUCUUUCUGUAGUCCCCUCGCGGACGUUAUUUUUACAGCUCUGAGCAAAAAUUCAAAAUGAAUCAAAACUUUCAACAACGGAUCUCUUGGUUCUG